AAGAGAUUCCAUUCCCAGCACCCAGUCUCAUCCCUGGAAAAUCAAUGGCAGUGGAGGCAGGUGGCAAACCUUCUCUUAUUUUGUGGAAGAAAGGGGAAAUAAGUGACUGAAUGACCGAAGUGAACUUGAAGUAUGUUGCAUCACUUGAGAAAAAUCUAUAAAAUCUACCUCAGAGAGUCCCAAAAUGCAUUAUGGAAUUGCAAGCUAAAGCCAAGGCAUACCCACUCAACAGUGACUCACUGUGCAGCCUGGGCAAGUGUGUGUCUCAGUUCAGGAAGAGGUGAAUGGGGCAGCGAUAGUUCUCAGUCUCAUAAAACACUUUAGGAGCUUCCUGUGAAAAAGAGUAGCUCUGUCACUGCCUCAGUCGCUUACCUGCCUCCUUUCUAGCCAAGUAACAUAGGAAGAGCAAAGGACAAAAGCCCUGCAGAAAACUAAUUCCUCCUGCUCUGUUUAUAUCAGAUGUUGGAACCUUCACAUAUCCCUUCCUGCCACAUCUGAUAAAAGUGGAAGUUACAAGUGUACUUUGGUGAUCUGCUUUGGGUGAGCCGAAGUGCCUUGGCUCUGGCUGGUGCGAGAUCAAACCCUCUGCAGGGAGCAGUGUCAAGCUGGAAAAUCACAGUUCAAUGGAUGAAGUACUCUCUUACCUGGAUUAUCAUUUUGGACAUCUUCUGCUCUAAGAAGCUGUUUGCCCAUCCUGCUGUUACCACUUAGCUUCACAUAUUUGAACCAGGAACUUGGAUCUUUUGUCUCACCAAGGAGUCAUAAAGAGGGUGGUUAACCAUGAGCUGCAUUCCUCAAUGACACACUGACCUGCUAGGGAAGGCAGGAUAUACGCCUCCUACACUUGCCCAUGUAGCUUCUACUGCAUCAGCCAAGCAGCAACUGCAUAUUCCAAGGAGAAAUUUCCAGAGGUAACAGAGGUAGUAGUGAAGUCAGACGUGGAGCCAAUGCUAAGAGAAUCCUGCAGGUGGCUUUAUUCCUAAAGUGCUGGGCUGUGCUGAUGUUGAAGCCUCUUGCUCCCAAGACCUACUUCUGGACUAAAGUGCUGCAUCAGGAUUAAUCACCUGCCUAAAAGUGAAACACUUUCUCUUGAAAUAUCUCGCACACAAUGAAGUACAAAAGGCCAUACAAUAGAAAGCAGAAAAAGGCCAAACCCAGGGCUUGAUUUGCUCUGCAGGAAUAAAGAAGGACAACUGCAGUCAGGAGAAAGCAAAGGAUCAAGCCUUUCGUGCCUUUUCCUGUGGAUCUGCAACUAUGUGGAAUUUCCCAGCUAUGUGAGCAUUUAACUUGCAUAAUAAAUCACAUCCUCUUUAUCUGUCCCUGCCCCAAUGUUAUAUAGGGUGAAAAGGGGGGAACUGACAUUUUCCCAUCUUCUGGCUCAUCCCCUCUGCAACACACCACAACACACCUUGCUGAUUUUACUCCUCCUCCUCAAUACAUGGCAUCAGCAUAACUCCUCCAGUUCACACCAGUGGCCUGCUCCUCCCCUGCCAUCUACUCAGCCACCAAUGCCAUCAUCAAAAGCUGCAGACCCCUGCUUCUUGCUCCCACACCAUCACAACAGAGCCACCAGUGACCCUGCAAACACCUGCCAAACCCAGGAUUUCCAUUGAUACACAAGCAGCUAUUAUGUUCAGCAAGGACAUCACAGGCAGCUGUGCAGGGCAUGGAAAGCACAUACAGCCCCAGAAUCUGGAGUGCAGUCAAUAAGCUCUACAGAGAGAGGAAGACUAGCGACAACUUCUUCUCCUGGCAUUUGUUGGGGGGAUUUUUGGUAGAAAAAAACCCUGGAUUAUUUCAGGUUUUGUGCUGUAACCUGCUGAAAGUAAAUAAUAGCAUAGUAUAUUGAGGUGGGAAAGAAAGCACAGGCUGUGUAGUUUGUGGGCUGCAAUGCAGAAUGGAAGGCCUGCAGCUGCUUUCUCUCCAGAUACCUUUUGUGUGUGAACAGUCACCAGACAUACUCAGUUUUGGAGCUGCAAUUGUGGUUAUAUUGUGCCACGGUGCACUUAGUUUGCUAGGCAGCUGCUUAUCCCCAUCUAGUGGGUUUGUGGAUGAGCAACAGGGGCAAGGAAGAAGCCAGCAGUAACUUUCUGUCCUGGCACUUUUUGUAUGGAAGCUGUGCUUGAAAGUUUUUAAUUUUGGAGAUGGGUUCUGUGGAGUGUAAAACACUGUGAUAGUUUACUUCCUUUGGAAGGAGAGUGCUUAGCCACAGUGGCAGUGGUGCAGUUAAUAGGCUGCAAGGCUAAAGAGAAGGUGAGCAACACUCAGCAUUUCCUAGGACAAGGUUGUUGAAUAGAAAGCACCAGGAGAUAGGGCGGCUUGGGAAGACAUACCAGACAUGCAGCAAGUAAAUUACAGCAGCUUGAGACUGGCUCUAGUGGUUUGUGGUGCAUGCCAUUCUUGCUUUUCCCUCUUUUAAAGCUUGCCUGGCUUUGUUUGUAACCUGUGGGAUUUUUCUGUGUUAUAGUUGACUUUGUUCAGUUAAAGUGAAUUAAAUGUUCCAGGGAACACUUAAGUACUUCUAGGAAGUAGAUAACUACCCAGUUCCUGUAGUUCAUAAACACACCUUAGUUUAAUAAGUCAUCAGUUACAGGGAAUUCUUGCACAAUUUUUUGCCUUUGGAGCUGAGUCUGCAUGUCUCUCAGCAACUUUUUCUGUACUUCACACUGUUUUGCUUCUUAUCCCUGUAUAUUGGUGAAAAUUACUUCUGAAAAUUAACUGGUGGUGGCAUCUAGCAGAGAAAGGUAUUUCAAAUACCAGACAUGCACCAAAAAUGCACAUUCUCUGGAUUCUGUCUUGUCACUCCUGUUAGUGGGACCGGUGCUCUUGUAAGUUGAAGGCCAGGUUGCACUUUCUAAUGUUGCAGAGCCCAAAGGGAGGCUUCAGUAUAAAAAUCACUGCUGAAAGUAGUUGUUUGAGCAUGGAUGUCACUCAGAUGGAAAGCCUGAAAAUCUUAAAAAUGAGAAUUCAAAUACCAUGUUUUGGUUAAUGCUGCUCUUGUUGUUACACUUCACCCAUCAUGUUAAGGACUUGUUCUCCUGCGCAGUAGCCAUCAAAAUGCAGGUUCAUCUCCAAGCACAGCAACACUGACACAAAAUGCACAGGUGAAUGAUUUGAAUGCUUUGCUGGAUUGGAGCCAGGGACUCAGCACCUCACAGUAUGGACUUCUCUUGAGAAGAUGGAGGAUCUGCAACUGAUUUUGGUUUUGUCCUUGACAAGAGCCCAUCACUAGAAGUGGAAAGGACUUGCCCCAAGAGUCAGACAGGACUAUGGACAGGACUAUAAUUAUUUGAAAGUGACCAGGAUUCGGGUGGAGUAAGCACAAUCAACAAUUUUGAUGAAGUGCUGUAAUUCUUAGGGCUGUGUGUGCACUAUGACCUGCAGCCUAGAGGAGCAUGGAUGUGCUUGAAUGUGCUCCUUGGCAUUGUCAACACAAUCAGCUGUCAGAGACAGGAUCUGGCUGGCUGAAUUAGCAGUCUUGCAGUGUGGGUGUAAAUCUUUCUACAGUAGUUUCUUCACCCAGCAAGGCAGUGUCUUUCAUGUAAUGUCAUGUGGGAAGUUCACCCUAGGCUCCCAAGCAUUCCCACACUGUCUCUAGCCAAGAGAAUUAAGUAUACUGGGCUGGAUUUCAAAGGAGACUCCCUCAAAUUGCAGAUAUUUCUUGGGAUGCCCUGUCAUUUAAAUGAAGAUAAAAUUAGUCACUGUAGCUUUCUUCCUUCAUUAUGGUAAAAUAUUUUGAUUUAAAGCUGAUGUUAUGAAUCACUUCCUUUUCUAAUUAAAUGUUUCAUUAUUUCAGUUGCUAUAUAGACACAAUGUCAGAAGACACAAAAGACACCUAGUCAGAAGACCAAAUCUGUAGAUCAAACCCCCACAGCAAAACACUUCACUCACAUUGGAAUAAAUGGAGUUAACUCCACUGCAGUCAUCAGCAGGAGCAGGCAGGCAGUAUCUGGCCAUAAAUAAACAUUGCUGGACCAACUUAUUUGAGAAGGAAUCUAUCUCACUUCAUUUUAGGUGUCUAAGAAUUAAUUUUAAGUGUAAGGUAAGUGUUGAGGGCUCCUCUCCUAGCCCCAGAGAGUCAUUGCAAUGCCCAUGGGGCAUGUUCCAGCUGCCUGGAAAAGGAUGUGUUGCCCAGAUCCACAGUAGGAUCUGGAAUCAAAUUUAGUGGAUUAAGUAUCAGAGAGGCACCAUGAGGUAAGAAAACCUCUGCUAUGAUGGCAGACUGGGGCAAGUGCCUGGAUGUUGGCAAAUUUUCAUUAAACUCAUUUCCUUGGCCUGAAAAACACCACCUUGGCUUUAUGGUACUCUCCCUUUCUAAAGUGGGAGGUUUCCCCAUUUAGCCCCCUGAAUAAACUGUGCUUUCUCCUUCUGAGGCAUAAAUCAUAAACUCUCCAUGUACAUGAAAACACCAGUGGCCUCACUACCCACUGCA